rnacentral:rRNA from 1 species
UACGGGGGGAGGCAAGCGUUGUUCGGAAUUACUGGGCGUAAAGGGUUCGUAGGUGGCCAACUAAGUCAGACGUGAAAUCCCUCAGCUUAACUGGGGAACUGCGUCUGAGACUGGAUGGCUUGAGUGCAGGAGAGGAACGCGGAAUUCCAGGUGUAGCGGUGAAAUGCGUAGAUAUCUGGAGGAAUACCGGUGGCGAAGGCGGCAUCCUGGACCAUUACUGACGCUGGAGGCGCGAAAGCUAGGGGGAGCAAACGGG